CAGUCGCCACGGUAAUACGUAGGGUGCGAGCGUUAAUCGGAAUUACUGGGCGUAAAGCGUGCGCAGGCGGUUUUGUAAGACAGGCGUGAAAUCCCCGGGCUCAACCUGGGAAUGGCGCUUGUGACUGCAAAGCUAGAGUGCGGCAGAGGGGGAUGGAAUUCCGCGUGUAGCAGUGAAAUGCGUAGAUAUGCGGAGGAACACCGAUGGCGAAGGCAAUCCCCUGGGCCUGCACUGACGCUCAUGCACGAAAGCGUGGGGAGCAAACGGGAUUAGAUACCCCUGUAGUCCCUGUCUCUUAUAC
rnacentral:rRNA from 1 species